GAGCCUGAAUCAGUGUGUGUGUUAGUGGAAGCGUCUGGAAAGGCGCGCGAUACAGGGUGACAGCCCCGUACACAAAAAUGCACAUGCUGUGAGCUCGAUGAGUAGGGCGGGACACGUGGUAUCCUGUCUGAAUAUGGGGGGACCAUCCUCCAAGGCUAAAUACUCCUGACUGACCGAUAGUGAACCAGUACCGUGAGGGAAAGGCGAAAAGAACCCCGGCGAGGGGAGUGAAAAAGAACCUGAAACCGUGUACGUACAAGCAGUGGGAGCACAGAGCAAUCUGUGUGACUGCGUACCUUUUGUAUAAUGGGUCAGCGACUUAUAUUCUGUAGCAAGGUUAACCGAAUAGGGGAGCCGAAGGGAAACCGAGUCUUAACUGGGCGUUAAGUUGCAGGGUAUAGACCCGAAACCCGGUGAUCUAGCCAUGGGCAGGUUGAAGGUUGGGUAACACUAACUGGAGGACCGAACCGACUAAUGUUGAAAAAUUAGCGGAUGACUUGUGGCUGGGGGUGAAAGGCCAAUCAAACCGGGAGAUAGCUGGUUCUCCCCGAAAGCUAUUUAGGUAGCGCCUCGUGAAUUCAUCUCCGGGGGUAGAGCACUGUUUCGGCAAGGGGGUCAUCCCGACUUACCAACCCGAUGCAAACUGCGAAUACCGGAGAAUGUUAUCACGGGAGACACACGGCGGGUGCUAACGUCCGUCGUGAAGAGGGAAACAACCCAGACCGCCAGCUAAGGUCCCAAAGUCAUGGUUAAGUGGGAAACGAUGUGGGAAGGCCCAGACAGCCAGGAUGUUGGCUUAGAAGCAGCCAUCAUUUAAAGAAAGCGUAAUAGCUCACUGGUCGAGUCGGCCUGCGCGGAAGAUGUAACGGGGCUAAACCAUGCACCGAAGCUGCGGCAGCGACACUGUGUGUUGUUGGGUAGGGGAGCGUUCUGUAAGCCUGUGAAGGUGUGCUGUGAGGCAUGCUGGAGGUAUCAGAAGUGCGAAUGCUGACAUAAGUAACGAUAAAGCGGGUGAAAAGCCCGCUCGCCGGAAGACCAAGGGUUCCUGUCCAACGUUAAUCGGGGCAGGGUGAGUCGACCCCUAAGGCGAGGCCGAAAGGCGUAGUCGAUGGGAAACAGGUUAAUAUUCCUGUACUUGGUGUUACUGCGAAGGGGGGACGGAGAAGGCUAUGUUGGCCGGGCGACGGUUGUCCCGGUUUAAGCGUGUAGGCUGGUUUUCCAGGCAAAUCCGGAAAAUCAAGGCUGAGGCGUGAUGACGAGGCACUACGGUGCUGAAGCAACAAAUGCCCUGCUUCCAGGAAAAGCCUCUAAGCAUCAGGUAACAUCAAAUCGUACCCCAAACCGACACAGGUGGUCAGGUAGAGAAUACCAAGGCGCUUGAGAGAACUCGGGUGAAGGAACUAGGCAAAAUGGUGCCGUAACUUCGGGAGAAGGCACGCUGAUAUGUAGGUGAAGUCCCUCGCGGAUGGAGCUGAAAUCAGUCGAAGAUACCAGCUGGCUGCAACUGUUUAUUAAAAACACAGCACUGUGCAAACACGAAAGUGGACGUAUACGGUGUGACGCCUGCCCGGUGCCGGAAGGUUAAUUGAUGGGGUCAGCGCAAGCGAAGCUCUUGAUCGAAGCCCCGGUAAACGGCGGCCGUAACUAUAACGGUCCUAAGGUAGCGAAAUUCCUUGUCGGGUAAGUUCCGACCUGCACGAAUGGCGUAAUGAUGGCCAGGCUGUCUCCACCCGAGACUCAGUGAAAUUGAACUCGCUGUGAAGAUGCAGUGUACCCGCGGCAAGACGGAAAGACCCCGUGAACCUUUACUAUAGCUUGACACUGAACAUUGAGCCUUGAUGUGUAGGAUAGGUGGGAGGCUUUGAAGUGUGGACGCCAGUCUGCAUGGAGCCGACCUUGAAAUACCACCCUUUAAUGUUUGAUGUUCUAACGUGGACCCGUGAUCCGGGUUGCGGACAGUGUCUGGUGGGUAGUUUGACUGGGGCGGUCUCCUCCUAAAGAGUAACGGAGGAGCACGAAGGUUGGCUAAUCCUGGUCGGACAUCAGGAGGUUAGUGCAAUGGCAUAAGCCAGCUUGACUGCGAGCGUGACGGCGCGAGCAGGUGCGAAAGCAGGUCAUAGUGAUCCGGUGGUUCUGAAUGGAAGGGCCAUCGCUCAACGGAUAAAAGGUACUCCGGGGAUAACAGGCUGAUACCGCCCAAGAGUUCAUAUCGACGGCGGUGUUUGGCACCUCGAUGUCGGCUCAUCACAUCCUGGGGCUGAAGUAGGUCCCAAGGGUAUGGCUGUUCGCCAUUUAAAGUGGUACGCGAGCUGGGUUUAGAACGUCGUGAGACAGUUCGGUCCCUAUCUGCCGUGGGCGCUGGAGAACUGAGGGGGGCUGCUCCUAGUACGAGAGGACCGGAGUGGACGCAUCACUGGUGUUCGGGUUGUCAUGCCAAUGGCACUGCCCGGUAGCUAAAUGCGGAAGAGAUAAGUGCUGAAAGCAUCUAAGCACGAAACUUGCCCCGAGAUGAGUUCUCCCUGACCCUUUAAGGGUCCUGAAGGAACGUUGAAGACGACGACGUUGAUAGGCCGGGUGUGUAAGCGCAGCGAUGCGUUGAGCUAACCGGUACUAAUGAACCGUGAGGCUUAACCUUACAACGCCGAAGGUGUUU
rnacentral:rRNA from 1 species